rnacentral:rRNA from 1 species
UACGUAGGGGGCGAGCGUUGUCCGGAUUUACUGGGUUUAAAGGGUGCGUAGGUGGGUCUGUAAGUCAGUGGUGAAAUCUCCGAGCUUAACUCGGAAACUGCCAUUGAUACUAUAGGUCUUGAAUUAUCUGGAGGUAAGCGGAAUAUGUCAUGUAGCGGUGAAAUGCUUAGAUAUGACAUAGAACACCAAUUGCGAAGGCAGCUUACUACGGAUCGAUUGACACUGAGGCACGAAAGCGUGGGGAUCAAACAGG